UGAGCCCCUGUCCUUCCCGUCUCCUUCUCUGGUGUGUGCCAGUUUGGAAAAAAGAUUUGUGCGAAUCUCGGCUCCAUCCCAGGGGUCAGGGAGGCAUGCUGUCUGCUUGGGAGCGAGAAGGAGCGAACUGCCCCAUCUCCAUGGUGAGAAACCUUUGCCAUGGUCUCCUUGACUUCCUCACAAAGGCUGGUGAGCCGCCAGAGGCCUCCCACGUGGCGAAAGUCGCAGCACCUUUGGAGCAGGAAGGAUGGAGUCAGAAGUGGCCCCGACAGCCUCCUUCCUGGCUGAGGCUUGGGAAAGGGCGGGGGGUCUGGCUGCUCCCCACGUUCUCCAACUCCAAGGAACAACCCUGCCCGCCCUGCCUUCCUUCCACCUGCUCUCUGGGUCACCUGUAAGAAUUCCCCCUCAGCCCUUGCGGGGCAGACUGCUGCUGUAGACGGCUUGUGAAGGACGGCAGGUCCUGUGACGUUCACCUCUCCCCACACACCUAUUUCUACCUUUUCUUGAAGCUGCUUUGAAUUGGUUUGCAUUUUGGGAACCAAAGGACCUCUAGGAUAGAAGACAAGGCUGCUGAUGUGAUGUCAGUAUUUGAAUGUGGAGUGAACGGUUCCGGUUCCCGUGAACUGGUCAGAGCCAAUUCGAAGAGACCACCCAUGAGAUCACGGACUCCAGGACCCACAGGCUUCAGCAGUUGUG